GGGGAAACCGCGCUGCCUUGGGCCCUUCCGUACCCGGGUACAGCUGGGAGAUGGUGUCCUCCCGGCCAGCAUGAAGUCAGUACCUCUUGCGGUUGCUCCAGCAAAAGAAAGAAAAAGACCAACAGACCAGUGUAAAUCCAGCUAUCGGCUGAGGUGGCCUGGACCAGGGAGCAGCCCAGCAGACAAACUAGGAACCCACUCUAGACCCCAGUGAUCUCUGCACAGACACAGAACUGGCUUCGUCCGAGCCUGGAAGGCGGUGUGCUGACCGUCCACUCCGACACUGACCUUUGGUUUGCCAGCCCGGGGGAAACAAACAUUGGCCUCCCGCCUACAUUCUUCCGGUCCAACUCCAGCGCCUGCAGGGCCGACUUCUCCUCCUUGAACUCCAC